CAUGCAGUUCGUACCAGUGAAGCCAGGCUUUGCUUGGUGGAUCAGUGGCGAACGGGUGAGUAACACGUGAGCAACCUGCCCUGGACUCUGGGAUAAGCGCUGGAAACGGCGUCUAAUACUGGAUAUGAGACGUGAUCGCAUGGUCGUGUUUGGAAAGAUUUUUCGGUCUGGGAUGGGCUCGCGGCCUAUCAGCUUGUUGGUGAGGUAAUGGCUCACCAAGGCGUCGACGGGUAGCCGGCCUGAGAGGGUGACCGGCCACACUGGGACUGAGACACGGCCCAGACUCCUACGGGAGGCAGCAGUGGGGAAUAUUGCACAAUGGGCGAAAGCCUGAUGCAGCAACGCCGCGUGAGGGAUGACGGCCUUCGGGUUGUAAACCUCUUUUAGCAGGGAAGAAGCGAAAGUGACGGUACCUGCAGAAAAAGCGCCGGCUAACUACGUGCCAGCAGCCGCGGUAAUACGUAGGGCGCAAGCGUUAUCCGGAAUUAUUGGGCGUAAAGAGCUCGUAGGCGGUUUGUCGCGUCUGCUGUGA
rnacentral:rRNA from 1 species